rnacentral:rRNA from 1 species
AUGAGAUCCCAGCCGCGUUCGGCGCCUGCCCCGCCGCUCGCCACAUCCUCGGCCACCUGCGAGCUCCGGACGCCCCUCCCUGCACCGCCGCUCGUCUUCUCUGAGCUGAAGCCGGCACCACCACCACCUCCUCUGCUCCUGGCAGCGCCCUCCGUUCUGGAUCUUGAUAUGCAGUGGCCUCCUCCACCCCACGCCUUCAAGGUCUUUGUGGCCCAUCCGGAGCUCCUGCUCGAAGGGGCGCUGCUGCCUGUGGCGAGCCCCUGCUCAGUCGUCACGGCCAUUGCUGUUGGGCAGGAGUCUUCUCUGCCUUCAGCGCUUGCUCCGGCGCGGCCGGGCUUUCAGAGCUCCAAGGAGGUGCUCGCUCCCGACGCCGUUAUGUGGGCCUCGCAGCCGCCGAUGGCCGUGUCGUGGGCUUCCCUCGCUGACGAAGUCUGCAGCAUUGAUGACGACGAGGAGCUCGCCCCGCUGACGCCUUUGGCUGCCAGAUGCUCCGGCGGGGUAAGCGAUCCGGCUGCUGCUGUUGUUGUCGCUACUGCUCCUGAGGUAUCUUCGGAGGUGGGAUGGUCAAGGUGA